AAGGGUUCGCUGGUUCAGCCAGCAUCCUCCAACCCGAUGUGUACCCGCCUCGUUGCCUCGGCGUGCCUGCGUCGUCUACGGCGCUGCCGGCCCCGGCUGGAUAGUGCACGCCGGAGGAACUUUAAACUCCAGCCUUAACGAGUUGCCGUCUGAGCUUUAAUCAAAUACGUUA
rnacentral:misc_RNA from 1 species